ACUGCAUCCAGCAGCAAAGUUUUAGCCUUCUCCGAUUAGGAGUCAAAAACAAAAGACAAAGUCUGGUGCCUAAUACCGUCUUUAUGGAACUCUGUACUCUAGGAUGACUAGCCUAAUGGGCUAGUUAUUGGGUAUCUAAAAUUGCCAGAUUCCCAUACGUUUUGUAGCAUCAGCAAUUUAAUAAACUUCUCUGCUUCCUGAUCCCAGUAACUAGGAGUCAAUGCUAACCAUGGAUAUGAAAAGAGGAGGGUUGACAUGCAGAACCAAGGGACUAGAAAGCUCAUCUGCCCUCAUCAGAACCAUGUGACCCAUGGUUCACUGGUUCACUGACCCAACACAGGCAAAACUGCCUGACCAAGGAGAAAGAAUGCUGUCUGGAAUUAAAGAAAGCAUGGUACAAGUUCUGUAGCUGUGAGUGACAGCAACUGGAAUAUCAACUGGACCUGCUUCUGGUGGCAGCGAGGACCAUCCUUGAUAAACCUGGCCACUCUCAAAAUUUGCAAGAAUGCUAGCACUAUUCUAAGAUUGUGAGAAAUCCAGUAGAAAUCUCACUGGACCACAGAUUCUCCUCCUGAGAAGAAGCCAUGGAUUUCACAGCCAGGAGAUGUGGGGCUCAGACGGGAUGAGUAUGUUCCUCUACGUCCUGGUUGCUGGAGUGCACCUUAGGACUUCAGCUUAGAGUGCAAUCUACACUGUCAGCUCUCUGGCUCUCCAGCCUUCAGACUACACCACCGGCUUUCCUGGGUGUCCAGCUCGCAGACAGCAGAUGCAUAGCUCCCUGUGACUGACACAUUCCUCAGAGUAUGCUGUGAUCUGAGGGAGAUACAUUCAGAAGAAGGACUCCCAGGCAGGUGGAUAGGAAUGACCCGAAUGUUAAAAUUUAGAUCGUCUCUCCGCAUCCCUUCCAAGAGCUGGCAAUGAGCCUACAGUGUAAUUCAGGUAUAUACUUUCUAUUUUAAGACUUCGGUCAGCCCUUAAUGAUAAUUCUUCAAUAAAUGUUGUGGUUUAUAUUGGAAUUACAGAAAGCUCCUUGAUAAGCCUUUUGCUACAGGCCUAAGUUCACGUGUAGGUGCCAAAUUUAGAAAAGACAAUACAGGAUGCAUGUUGCAUAGGACAUACUUUUAGCAAAAAAAAAAAUUGUUGUUUAUCUGAAAUUCUGAUUUAACUGAAAA
rnacentral:lncRNA from 1 species